rnacentral:rRNA from 1 species
UACGUAGGGACCGAGCGUUGUCCGGAAUCAUUGGGCGUAAAGAGCGUGUAGGCGGCCACUUAAGUCCUGCGUGAAAUCUUGCGGCUCAACCGCAAGCGGUCGUGGGAAACUGGGUGGCUAGAGUGCGGGAGAGGAGAGUGGAAUUCCUGGUGUAGCGGUGGAAUGCGCAGAUAUCAGGAAGAACACCCGUGGCGAAGGCGGCUCUCUGGAACGCAACUGACGCUGCGACGCGAAAGCGUGGGGAGCAAACAGG